rnacentral:rRNA from 1 species
GACGAACGCUGGCGGCGUGCUUAACACAUGCAAGUCGAACGGAAAGGCCCUGCUUUUGUGGGGUGCUCGAGUGGCGAACGGGUGAGUAACACGUGAGUAACCUGCCCUUGACUUUGGGAUAACUUCAGGAAACUGGGGCUAAUACCGGAUAGGAGCUCCUGCUGCAUGGUGGGGGUUGGAAAGUUUCGGCGGUUGGGGAUGGACUCGCGGCUUAUCAGCUUGUUGGUGGGGUAGUGGCUUACCAAGGCUUUGACGGGUAGCCGGCCUGAGAGGGUGACCGGCCACAUGGGGACUGAGAUAGGGCCCAGACUCCUACGGGAGGCAGCAGUGGGGAAUAUUGCACAAUGGGAGGAAGCCUGAGGCAGCAACGCCGCGUGCGGGAUGACGGCCUUCGGGUUGUAAACCGCUUUCGCCUGUGACGAAGCGUGAGUGACGGUAAUGGGUAAAGAAGCACCGGCUAACUACGUG